rnacentral:sRNA from 1 species
GCGUCUUUAUCGCUUAAUUCCUAAAACUUUUAGGAAGCGGGGGAACCAAUCGCAGUCCAACGUGACUGCAUGGGGUGAAUCUCGAGAGAUCGAGUAGGGCUACUCUCAAGCCCGAAUCCGUCAGCUAACUCCGUAAGCGUUCAGAGAGAGGCAAC